rnacentral:tRNA from 1 species
AAGGAUUUAAGUUAAAAAAACUAAUAGCCUUCAAAGCUAUAAAUAGAUAACUACACCUUUCUAAGCCUUA